UACGUAGGGGGCAAGCGUUGUCCGGAAUCAUUGGGCGUAAAGAGCGUGUAGGCGGCCCGAUAAGUCCGCUGUGAAAGUCCAGGGCUCAACCCUGGGAUGCCGGUGGAUACUGUCGGGCUCGAGUCCGGAAGAGGAGUGUGGAAUUCCGUGGUGUAGCGGUGAAAUGCGCAGAUAUCAGGAAGAACACCCGUGGCGAAGGCGGUUCUCUGGGACGGUACUGACGCUGGAGACGCGAAAGCGUGGGGAGCGAACGGG
rnacentral:rRNA from 1 species